rnacentral:rRNA from 1 species
CCUACGGGGGGCAGCAGUGGGGAAUAUUGGACAAUGGGGGGAACCCUGAUCCAACCAUGCCGCGUGUGUGAAGAAGGCCCUCGGGUUGUAAAGCACUUUCAGUGAGGAAGAACGCCUGGUGGUUAAUACCCAUCAGGAAAGACAUCACUCACAGAAGAAGCACCGGCUAACUCCGUGCCAGCAGCCGCGGUAAUACGGAGGGUGCGAGCGUUAAUCGGAAUUACUGGGCGUAAAGCGCGCGUAGGUGGCUUGAUAAGCCGGUUGUGAAAGCCCCGGGCUCAACCUGGGAACGGCAUCCGGAACUGUCAAGCUAGAGUGCAGGAGAGGAAGGUAGAAUUCCCGGUGUAGCGGUGAAAUGCGUAGAGAUCGGGAGGAAUACCAGUGGCGAAGGCGGCCUUCUGGACUGACACUGACACUGAGGUGCGAAAGCGUGGGUAGCAAACAGGAUUAGAUACCCUUGUAGUC